rnacentral:tRNA from 1 species
CGGGGUGUAGCUCAGUCUGGUAGAGCGCUGCGUUUGGGACGCAGAAGUCGCAAGUUCGAAUCCUGUCGCCCCGACCA